rnacentral:rRNA from 1 species
GUGGGGAAUUUUGGACAAUGGGCGCAAGCCUGAUCCAGCAAUGCCGCGUGCAGGAAGAAGGCCUUCGGGUUGUAAACUGCUUUUGUACGGAGCGAAAAGGCUCUCUCUAAUACAGGGGGCUCAUGACGGUACCGUAAAAAUAAGCACCGGCUAACUACGUGCCAGCAGCCGCGGUAAUACA